CACCAUCUACUCUUAGUUCUCUCUUUCAUGCUUCUCACAUUUUGAAAUUCGAAUUCUCUGCUCCAAGUUUUCUCGCACCAUUCUUUCAUCUUCUUUUAACUGAAACCCAAAAUCGCAACUAUGGUCAGAUCUUGAAGCAUUUUGGAUCUCAAAAUCGUUGUUUGGAGGCCACAAUCCAACAUGCAAGAGGCUGAGAGGUGUGGGUUUUCUCAUAAUCGAGAGAAGGAUGAAGGGCAACGAUAAACUGGGUUCUGAUAGGAUUUUCAAGGGUACUUUUUUUCUUUCUUUAGCUUAUUGGCUCGCUUGAAGCCCUAAUUCGCGGCCGGCGUCUCCACAUGUGCCGACUUUUUUUAGUUAGGAUUUCUAUUUAGGUUUGGACCUAUAACAUAUUUCAUUAAAUGUUAUUACUCUUGAUUUGUGUUUGUUAGUUUUGGGGAACUAGACUUGUGUAAUUUGAAGUUAAAGAUUUUAGGUAUUUUGGUAAGCUGGUAACUAGGUAGUCGUAUGUUUUGUGUAGCUUAGAGUUAGGAUUUAAGUCUUAAAGGGUACAAUGGAGUAAUAUUAACUACUUACAUAGUUAAACCCACAACGUUGUUAUUACUUUUUGCAAAUGUCUGGUCUUUCAUAGCUCCAUUUGUGUUAAGAGAUAUGUACUGUCAGUUUGUCUCAAAAAAGGAAAGAAAGCCAAAGCUCAAACUUUGAAAGUAAUCUUUGUGGUCUUGGUUAUGUAUGUUUCAUUGUUUAUUCUAGACCUAUCUCCUCGAAAUUUUGUUGCAUAAAUUAUAGAAUGGCUCCUUUAAGCUCUCAAAAUCAGGACCAACUAAUUUCGCCGAUCCUUAUUUGGAUCGUUUCCAUGUUCAUGUAGGUGGAUCACCUCAAUAUAAGGUGGAUAGAAAGUUGGGUAAAGAUGGAUUUGGUUAGGUAUUUGUAGGUCGUUGUGGUUGUGUUUAUGGUGGAACUGAUUGCAUAUCAGGUGUCUGGUGCCUGGAGCUAGCUAUAAAGUUUGAGCAUAGAAACCGCAAAGGCUGCAUUUAUGGUUCUCCUUAUGAGUAGCAAGUUUACAAUACUCUGGGUGGCAGUCACGGAGUGCCUAACGUUCACUAUAUAGGAAAGCAAGGAGACUACUUUGACAUGA